CGCAGAGGACCCAUCUCGAAACGUGGGAAACCAGCGCUGCUAUUUUUAGGAAAAGGGUGGAGAAUGGAGGAUGGACCAGCCCAGGAGAAGGCACAGCCAUCAGCCACUUCACCCAGUAGCUGAGCCACUCACGGCCCCGUCUGCGAUGAAGACAGAAGGUCCACCUCCGCUAGUACCGCAGAAGCUCAAAGAGGAACACAUAACUCAUACAAGGUUAAAGAGGCCGGCUCCAGAGCGAGCGCUGUGCGAGGAGAUGCUCUCUCUCUAGCGGCAUUCUGGGCGAUUACUCCCGAGCACCCAGCCAUACCAAAAUCAAUAAACAAUUUCAGCGCAGCCCA
ensembl:lncRNA